rnacentral:siRNA from 1 species
CCUUGAUAGUACUCCUGAUGC